CUCCCAGCAAGGUAUGGAGAGUGUUGUUCCCCUCCUUGAGAGAAGCCUGAGAUCCUCGUGGACGACUGAUUCUGCCCGGGUUGGCUUUUCGGGGGGUACUCCAGCUCGGUUAGUAACCAAAAAGCGGGGAGAAGCGGACCACCUCCUAAGCCUGACUGGUCUUUUAAAAAGAGUUCCGUCGUCCAACAUACUACCUUGCAAAAGCCUGGCCAGCUGGCUGGGCCGACUAGCGCCUUUCGCCCUAUUUCACAGAUGGGUAAACUGAGGUAGAGACGUCAAGUCACUCCAGAAGCCCAGGAAGAACUGAGACUCUCACCCGAGCCCGGAGUCUCCCAGCACGGCUCCGUUUCUCCCAUCAGGUCGGAUGGGAAGGGAUGGACCCAGACCGGCCCCUCUGCGACCCCAGAAGAUCCUACUCAUCAUGGAUGUGGCUGCUCCCCUCCUCUGUUCCAACACCUUCCAUGGCUCCCGGAAGCCCCGGCUGUCCCAUCCGACAGGAAGUGUCCUGCAAGGCUGGCCUAGGCCCACCCAUCUCACUGGCUCUUUUGCCAUCUUCUCACUUUCUUCCUACAUCUUCCCUGAACACCUACUGUGCGCCAGGCAGGAGUCCAGGCCCUAGGGAUUCAGGAGUAACCCAAACAGACCCAGUCCCUGUUGUUGAACUUAUCUCCCGUGUGUGGAAAAGCAGAGGACAGGGAAUAUUUGUUGACCUAAGCUGUUCACAGCGAUCAAUGCUGUAAAGAUAAAGUGAGCAGGAGAGAGGGGGUGGUGUGAUGGCCGGAGUGCAGUGGCUGCGGGGAGAGUGUGUGGCACCACGCUCAGUCACCCUCAGACUGGAAAAGGAUGCCAAGUAGAAUGAAGGCCCCAAGCAAGGGGAAGGGCCAGAGCUCUACCCACCUGCGGUGGGUCCAGGCUAAGAUGUGUGUCUUCCAGUAUCCUGGUUCUCUGCUGUUGUGCCCCUACUUGACGCCUCAGUAGGGGCAUCCCUUGACGCCUCAGGCCUCAGUUUCUUUAUCUGUAAAAUGGUCCUUCCUUCAACAGGCAUGUUCAAGAAUUGUUUGAGAACUGCAGCUGAAGCCCCAAGCCAAGGUCAGAGCAUAAUAGAUGUUCAGUGGCUGGCAGCCAUCCAUGAUUUCUGUUAUCCUUAUGAUCUGCGUUGCUUUCCCGAUUAUUUCUGGUCCUGCCUAGUGGGGCCGAGAGCUCCACCAGCCAGCCAGCCAUGCAGCCAAGGGCAGGAGACCGGCUAUGGCCCUGUCUUGUCUUGUGAUUUUUGACAACUUCCUGCCCUUCCUCAGGCCUCAGUUUUCCUGUCUGUACAAUGGGGUGGGCGUGUGGGGUGGUUACACCCAGGUCCCUGAUUCCACAUCACUGCAGGUGCUUUUUGUUUCUCCAAGUCUAAGUUCAAGGUGCAAACUCCCAGACUCUGGAAGGAGGAAGGCCACAUAAAUAUUUCAGGCAGCAGAUGUACCUGGCCAGCCUGGAAUGUGAAUGUUUAAUAUCACAUCCUCAUUUAGAGGAUGUUUUUUUUCCCUCCAGCUGGCUGGAAAAUCUGUUAGUCCUUGACCCCUCCUCAGCCCAGGAGGCCAAACCAGGAGGAGGAGGUGAGCCUGGUUCUGGGGGACUGGGGUGCAGGAGGGUGCUGGGUCAGCCUCUUCUCACUGGGGCCUGUGGGAGGACAUGAUUGUAUGCAUAGGAAUAUCAUGGCUUAGAGAGAGUCAGGGACUGCAUACCCUGAAGCACAGGGAUCCUCGCUGCUGGAAAGACCCUUAAAAAGGGGGGGAAAGGGGAGAAGAGGGGACUCCCAGAAGGGCCUAGGGUCUGGGAGGGGGGUGGGAUAGUCAGAACAGUUGGGUUCACCAAGACCUGUGCCCCCACAGCCCCCUCUGGGGUCUCUCUGCCCCUCCCCCUUGCCUCCUUCCCCCUCUUCAAUUGCUCCUUCACUCCCUGCCUUCCUCCCCUCCCCCACAUCCCCCCUUCUUUCCUUCUCCCUCCUUUCCCUAACCCCCCUCCUUCCUCCCGCCUCUCACUUCUCUCCCCUCCCUUCUCGUCAUCCUCCC
rnacentral:lncRNA from 1 species